UAGUAUCAACGGGCAAUAGCUCUUUUGGGGUACUUGUAUUACUAAAAGAGAGGAAAGUCGGGACACUAUUUAGCAUUUGCUAUUUAUGGGUGGCAGGCUCGUAAUCUGCCGUAGGUAACUAUAGGGAGCCGAAAUCUGUCAUAGAGAGUAGGUUGAAAAGUGCAACAGAAAAUAAACCGCCUUACCCCUAUGUAAUCGUCUCCCAAGACACGCACUAAGAAAAUUUUACAAGCGAAAAACUUGCUUUUUUGUGUUAAAAUUAUUCUGGCGAUGUCCGAGACGAUAGCUAGUUUAACGACUAUGCAAUCAAUAUGUAAGGUAAGGGCGAACAGUUGGGAGUAAGACCCCAAUCACGAAGGCAGGCAACUGUCCGUGUGGCAAACCCCGCUCGGUGCAACCUCAAGAAUGGUAGAGGGCGAAGACAAAUUAUUGCCUCCAGAUGAUCGGUCCGAAAGGGUCGCCAUUUGUAGACAGAAUCCCGCUUACAGUUGAUACAAUCAC
rnacentral:RNase_P_RNA from 1 species